rnacentral:rRNA from 1 species
AUUGAACGCUGGCGGCAGGCCUAACACAUGCAAGUCGAACGGUAACAGGAAUCAGCUUGCUGAUUCGCUGACGAGUGGCGGACGGGUGAGUAAUGUCUGGGAAACUGCCUGAUGGAGGGGGAUAACUACUGGAAACGGUAGCUAAUACCGCAUAACGUCGCAAGACCAAAGAGGGGGACCUUCGGGCCUCUUGCCAUCGGAUGUGCCCAGAUGGGAUUAGCUAGUAGGUGGGGUAACGGCUCACCUAGGCGACGAUCCCUAGCUGGUCUGAGAGGAUGACCAGCCACACUGGAACUGAGACACGGUCCAGACUCCUACGGGAGGCAGCAGUGGGGAAUAUUGCACAAUGGGCGCAAGCCUGAUGCAGCCAUGCCGCGUGUAUGAAGAAGGCCUUCGGGUUGUAAAGUACUUUCAGCGAGGAGGAAGGUGUUGAGGUUAAUAACCUCAGCAAUUGACGUUACUCGCAGAAGAAGCACCGGCUAACUCCGUGCCAGCCGCCGCUGUAA